GAGAAUAUUGUCCUGAGUGAUGUAACCCAGUCCCCAAAGGACAUGCAUGUUUCAGCAAGAUCAUUUCCACCCAUCUCCAGACCUCUGAGCACAUGAUAGUUGCAGAAGCCAGAAGGAAGAACCAACUACCAGGUCCACACAGCAAAUGAAGAGGAGAAAGUGGAGGUCCACAGAGGAGAGAUUUAGUCCAUCUGGCUCCCUGGAGGUGGCAUCAACCACCAUGUCUCCUGUGUAUCUGAAUCGGAGCCCGGCCCAUGAACCACACCACUCAUGUAUGGUGAAUCUUCUUGUCUCAACUAAGCUAGUCUAGAUAAUCUCUCAGGAGCAGGUUCAGAGAUUUGUCUCCUUGGUGACUCUACUUGUAUAUAUUUUCGCUCGGCUAUAUAAGCCAGCAGCUCCAGGAUAUCGGGGUCCUUCGCUUCAAACUUCAAGAGGAGCUCCCAAUAAAGUGCUGCUGAGAAGGA